GAUUUGCUCAAUUAUCUUUGGGGAGUCUCAUACUACAGGGAAGAGAAGAGUUUUUAACCAACUCCUAGAAUUCUAGAGUUAUUAGCAAAUGCACAAGUGGACGCAAGAAGAACAAGGGGGUUCUCUUGCCAUGGGUGAGUUUAAUGAUGAACCAACACAAGGAAAGAACUAGCACAUUUUCAUCCUGAGAUGCUGCAAGUUGUGGAAAAGAAGAUCACUCUCCUCAUCUUUUAGUUUAUAGGAGUUUUUGAUGCUCAAUUGUCAGGAGUUGCACUGCUGGAAGCAAGAAGAACAAGGUAAUACUUUCUAGUAAAACAAUUUCAUUUAUAGUGCACCGAGAUAGGUCAUAAGGUCGGUCAUCCUUUGCGAAUCUAAAUAAGUGCAGAGAUCUGAUACUUGUCCUCUUUGUCCAUUUUAUCGGGCACGCUGGCAUGCGAGGACGAGCUAUAAUUGCUCAGAUAAUAAAAUAUUAUCCGAGGUUUUGCCGAUGUGGGUGCAAAUCGGCAUGUUGGUUUUGGGCGUCUAAUUGAUGCGAGGUACGCCCUGGAUGUAGUUUCACACCAACACGCUGAACUUGAUUGUUUCUCACCCAUUGGUUGCUUUCCUAAGCGCAUGCCUAGGUUAUUUUGGUCCUAAACCUCGCGCCUUUGUGCUUUACCAGCUCUUUGCCUUCGAUGGUGGUGCUCAUUGGAAGAACUAGAGCCAUCGCUAGCAAUUCUAAUUCUAAGCUCCUAGCUUUGCAUUCUCAUGACGACGUUAUGUUGGCCAUGAGCCUGGUUUCCUUGCUGGACUUCCUUCAUUCCAGCCACUUCUUGCCACAAGGUUUGGAAUGCACUAGUGAGUGACCUCAUCAUAUCCAUCAUCUGGGCAGUCUUCAAGUUGGACGUUCUCGCCCCUUACUGGGUCACUGGUGGAACAACUAGUGGGUGAGUCUGCAUGGCCCUUUGAUCAACCUCCUGGUGGCCAGGUUCAUUAUUACAUGUCUGAUUAGCUCCGAUGACGCUUUUUGAUGCUUUAGUGCAUGUCAUGGCUAUUGUGUGUGGUAAAGAGUAUGAUUGACAAGGAGAAGAUCAUCUUUCUAGUGCCAAAAUGUUUUUAUGAAAUCUCGCAACAACCAAAGAUACCCGAUUCACCUUGAUGGAAUUGGAUAGGAUGGCUGCGUGAUUAUGAAUAAUUAGUAAAAUAAAUAAUGGAACUAAUGAAAUUAAAUGCAAAAGAGCUUUUAAGAGGUGCAACAAGUGAACUCUCAAGCAUACGUUCUCUGUUUUCUUAUUACUGUAUUUGAUUACAAAAAUAAGCUCUCUUUCUAAAAUUGCUAACCCCUUUAUAAUGAUUUUUAGGGGUUUGUACACUAAUGAAAAUGAUUAUGGUUAUAAGAGUGAUUUUUGAGUGUUGUGUGUGAUUUUUCUGCCAAGCUCGGGCUAACUCAAAGAUAUAGCUUGACCCAGAAUGAGCUCGGCAACUAUGAUUGAUCGACCUAGCAUAAGCUCGUCGAGAUAUAGCUUGACCCAGCAUAAACUAGUCGCAAACAAUUCGAGGAAUCAUUCAAUUAAUCUCCAGAUUACUUC